GCAGUCGAGCGGAACGAGUUAUCUGAACCUUCGGGGGACGAUAACGGCGUCGAGCGGCGGACGGGUGAGUAAUGCCUGGGAAAUUGCCCUGAUGUGGGGGAUAACCAUUGGAAACGAUGGCUAAUACCGCAUAAUAGCUUCGGCUCAAAGAGGGGGACCUUCGGGCCUCUCGCGUCAGGAUAUGCCCAGGUGGGAUUAGCUAGUUGGUGAGGUAAGGGCUCACCAAGGCGACGAUCCCUAGCUGGUCUGAGAGGAUGAUCAGCCACACUGGAACUGAGACACGGUCCAGACUCCUACGGGAGGCAGCAGUGGGGAAUAUUGCACAAUGGGCGCAAGCCUGAUGCAGCCAUGCCGCGUGUAUGAAGAAGGCCUUCGGGUUGUAAAGUACUUUCAGCAGUGAGGAAGGUGGUGUACUUAAUACGUGCAUCAUUUGACGUUAGCUGCAGAAGAAGCACCGGCUAACUCCGUGCCAGCAGCCGCGGUAAUACGGAGGGUGCGAGCGUUAAUCGGAAUUACUGGGCGUAAAGCGCAUGCAGGUGGUUUGUUAAGUCAGAUGUGAAAGCCCGGGGCUCAACCUCGGAAUUGCAUUUGAAACUGGCAGACUAGAGU
rnacentral:rRNA from 1 species